CAUUACAGUAUUUGGCCGACGGGGNGGGCUCUCUCGAUGCUGGCCCCACGAGGGGCAUGUGCGCGCGAGCCCCCUCGUCGUUUCUAAUAUACCCAUCCCUGUGAACCUUAUCGGGAGGCGAGCGCGUCCCGGGGGGCGUGCCUCACACCUCCCUUUUUAUUUUAUAACCGACGCCUGUUUGAAACGCAUGCAGUGAGCCUCACGGGGCGAAUAAAGUUUAAUAUAACUUUCAACAACGGAUCUCUUGGCUUUCGCAUCGAUGAAGGACGCCGCGAAAGUGCGAAACGUAAUGUGAAUUGCAGAAUUCAGUGAAUCAUCGAAUCUUUGAACGCAUCUUGCGCUCCUUGGUAUUCCGAGGAGCAUGCCUGUUUGAGUGUCGUGAAACCUCCCUCGACCCGACUCUCUCCGGAGGGNUUGUGGGUUGGAUUUGGACGCCUGCGGCCCCUUUACCCGGGUCGCUCGUCUUUAAAUGCAUCANCUGGCCUUUCACUUGGGGUCGGACCGACGCGACGGUGUGAUAAUGAACACGUGUGACGCCNUCCUGGACCGACUUUCGAUACGUGGGGUCGCUUCUAACCGUCCCCUCGGGACACGUUAC
rnacentral:rRNA from 1 species